CAAGUUUGAACUCUAAUAAUUUUGAAUCGAAAGUGGAUUCAGCAAUCAAUUUAAAUGUUAACCGAUUUUAACGUUACAACAACCUAGAUAGAUUGUAGAUAUUAAUCGAAAAUAAUUAGCGUAGAGAAGAACAUGUUGUUGUUGUUGUAGCGGCAGAAUUUUGCCGAGUUGACAGUCCUUUGCCGGAUAAAAAUCCGGGUCCGUUCCGGUUACGUAGACCCGAAUGUCCCGUGGAGAAGAACGACACACAACAACGUUGGCUCCUUUCGGUGAGCAACAGAAAUACCAACUCUUCAGGAAGAGGCAGACGCCGAAGUGGCGCAAUGCCGAGUACAAAUGUUCGCACAAAUCUACCAACGGUUGACAGCCAGCCGUUACCACAACCUGCUAUCUCUUCGGGGAGUAACCGAAAUACCAACUCUUCAGGAUGAAGCAGACGCCGAGGUGGCGCAAUGCCGAGAACUAAUAGAUAUUUGUCGAAAGUAUAUAGCGUAGAGAAAACGACCCACUGCAUGAUGAAGCAUAUUUCCCCUCUUCAGCAUGUCAGAAAUAAACGUUAUUAUGUUUUUUAACUUAAACAUAUAAAUAAUAAAUUAGAUUAAAAUGUCGUAAUAUACU